GUGGGCACGGGGGGCUGGCUCGGGCGGGAGAGGCGGAGGCUGCGGCUGAUGGGAGCGGGCCGGCCCGGGGCACCCAUGGAGCACCAAGGUAGGGCCGCCGCCUCAGCCGGCGCCCCCGCGGGGCCGCCGGACUCCGCGUCGUCCUCGUCCGGAGAGCCGGGGCCCGGGGGGCGGGCUCUGGAGCCGUGGAAGCGGGAGCCCGCCCGCCGCCGGGCCAGCAGCACCUCGGCCGCCUCCUCGUUGUCCUCGCCCGCCGCGGCGGCCGUUGACAGCCAGUGCCAGGGAGCGGCGGGCGGCAUGAACCGGGAGCGGCCGAGCUCCUACAGCGGCGCCACGCACGGCACCCGCCAGCGCCUGGAGAGCCUCAAGAAGAAACGGCCGCUCUUUCCGUGGUUUGGCUUGGAUAUUGGUGGAACCCUGGUCAAGCUGGUUUAUUUCGAACCCAAAGAUAUCACUGCUGAAGAAGAAGAAGAGGAAGUGGAAAGUCUUAAAAGCAUUAGGAAAUACCUAACCUCAAAUGAGGCAUAUGGGUCCACAGGCAUUCGGGAUGUCCACCUUGAAUUGAAGGAUCUGACCUUGUGUGGACGUAAAGGCAAUCUACACUUUAUACGUUUUCCUACUCAUGACAUGCCUGCUUUUAUUCAAAUGGGCAGAGAUAAAAACUUCUCAAGUCUCCACACUGUGUUUUGUGCCACUGGAGGUGGAGCAUACAAAUUUGAGCAGGAUUUUCUUACACACUGUGGGCUGGGGACUAUGGGGAUUUUCUUUAUUUUACAGAUAGGUGAUCUUCAGCUUUGCAAACUUGAUGAACUAGACUGCUUAAUUAAAGGAAUUUUAUACAUUGAUUCUGUUGGAUUUAAUGGACGGUCACAGUGCUAUUACUUUGAAAAUCCAGCUGAUGCUGAAAAAUGUCAGAAGUUACCCUUCAAUCUGAAAAAUCCAUAUCCUCUUCUUCUGGUGAACAUCGGCUCUGGGGUUAGCAUCUUGGCAGUAUAUUCCAAAGAUAAUUAUAAACGUGUUACUGGUACCAGCCUUGGGGGAGGAACUUUUUUUGGUCUUUGCUGUCUUCUGACUGGCUGCACCACUUUUGAAGAGGCUCUUGAAAUGGCGUCUCGUGGAGAUAGUACCAAGGUGGAUAAACUAGUACGAGACAUCUAUGGAGGGGACUACGAGAGAUUUUCAUUGCCAGGCUGGGCUGUGGCCUCUAGUUUUGGAAACAUGGUGAGCAAGGAAAAAAGAGAGGCCGUCAGCAAAGAGGACCUGGCCAGAGCAACUUUAAUCACCAUUACCAACAACAUUGGCUCAAUAGCACGAAUGUGUGCUCUUAAUGAGGGCACGGGGACUGCGCCUAUGUCAUCACUGGUCUAGAAAGCUCUUGGAGAGCCCCGCAGCUCAGAGGCCUCAGUGGUGAAGAGACCUUCACAGACUCACAGCCAGGACGGGUCAGAGGCAGGGCUUAAACUUUUCCAGGCUGCCUCUGUUGUACAUGACCAAAUAAGUCCCAUAAAGAUACGCCUGUCGUUGUGGGUAACACGGAGGAGAGGAACAACACAACAACCCUUACAAAUAAGAAGUUAUGGUCAGAGUUUUAUAAUAAACAGGCAUCUUAAAAAACCCAACCCAACAAGUUGUGCUUUUGCCUAACUCCUCCCUCAUGCCACACAUCCAGGCAGAUGCUGGAUGUGGUUCUGAACUCCACAGCCUCUCUCCCAUGCCCCCCUUGCUCGGGCCCUUGUUGCCCCUCUCCUGGACUAUUAGAAUUGGCUCCUUGGCUCCCCCGCUUCUCGUCUUCCCCCUUGUUAAUCCUGCUUCCACAUACCUGCCAGAGCAGCGGUCUAACACCGUCGCCGACCCUGCCCUAGGAUGUGUCCCGGCGGCUCCUUGUUGCCCCUUAGAAUAAGAAUACCAACUCUACUUUGGCGCUGAAAGCCCUUCACAACUGGAUGUGCAGGCCUGACUGUGCCUUAGUUGCCCUUCUUGCCCAUCGGAGGCCAGCUAGCCUCCUGCACCUUCCACCUGACAUUCCACCUCCUGUCUCAUGCCUUUGACCAACUACCCCUUGGCCCAACAUGCACUGCCCGCUCACUUCCGUUUCUCCUCCUCCAGGAGGCCUGCCUUGAUCCUCCCAGGUGCUAGUGCCUCUCCAUAAAAACGACCUCAUGUUUACUCCACAUGCACUUGCAGGCACGCUGGACACGUGGAAACUCCUGGAAUAUGGAGACCAUUUGGACUCUGUUCACCCUCACUCCUUCCCAGGCCAGAAUCUGACCUCUCUGGCCUUUCUGCACGCCACGCAGCAGGCUCUAUCCUUUUUCCCUUCCUUUCUACUUCUUUCUGUGCUGUCUUCCCUAUUAUAAUGGAAGCUUCUUGAGGGCAGGGCUUAUUGUGCUUGCAUUUUUGCACGUCUGACACUUGGCAGAGUGCCUGGCACACUUGCUAAAAUGCAUAUUCAUUUAGUCACUCAUUCUGUGCAGUGCCUGACGCAUAACUGGCCCUCAAGAAAUAACCUUCAAUUGCAUUUUACAAAGUUAAACAGUUCAACUGAACACAGACUACAAGAGGUUGGACAGAACAUGUAAAUUCUUGGCACACAUUUUAACAAUUCAAUUCAACAAUCAUUUAUGGCAUACCCAUCAUAUGUGCCAGGUGCCAGGUAUAUCAAGACAAGCCACCAUCCUCUAAGCUCCCACAUUCUACAGGGUGGAAACAACACCCUGUACACAGCUAAGGUUAUACGAGACACACUUAAGCCAGUCCAACAGAUCUCUGACGUCUUUGAUUCAGGAUGAACCCUGUUAUGGGACUCUUGUCCGUGUGCAGCCCACUGUUCACUGCAGAUCAUCCAUCUAACUAGAAACCUCCCCUGCUUUCUCCUGACAACAGGAGGGCACUGGUGGAGCUUUCUGGCUAUCCAUUGGCUCCUCCUCCCUCUUGCAAUGUGACCAGUCCAACUGCUCACUGUUCUUUGGAGUUUCUCACUGGUUCCUUCCAUUGCCCUGUGCGGGAUACUCACAUUGGGUUUUUGGAGGUAGUGCGCACCAUGUCCCACUGCUAUAUAAGUAAUACCAGUAAAAUGUCAGUGUUGAAAAGAAGGACCUUUGUUUUAUGGGCAGCUUGGGGUCUGUAAAAGAGCUCGGCAAUCUCCUAAAAGCAAUCUAGCUGCUAUCUUCUUCCUCUUCAUUUCGCUGUCUAUCAGUACGGUCUGUCCCACACAAACCCUAUAGAGUGUCCAAAUUUCUGCCGAAAUCUGGGCAAUAGACAUUCUUCAUCCUUUUUUUUUUCCUAUUCUGUAGGGAGGGACAGGCCAAAUUCUUUUGAGGGCUUACAGAUCUCUUCUAAGAGGAUCUGAAAUGUCUGGGGGCCAAAAUGCCAUCUGCAAACACCCACACAAUGAUAUCACUCAGGGCUCCUUGGAAGAUCUAAAAACAGAAAAAGCCCUAUUAAAUGAGGUGAAGCAUAAAACAGGGAGAUGUGAGCUUACUGAAGGUAUUCACCACCAUUACGGAAGAGAUCCAGGAGAGCACAGCAGCAAGACUGAGGCAGGGGUCCUUGUGGGGGAUCAGGUCCUUAAGAUAUGAAACACAUGCAGCAUAAACAGAGUAAUAUCUGGAGUUGAGGGAGAAUGCAUGCCACUGGGAAAUCAGAAAAGGUUUCCUGGAGGAGGUAGUAUCGGAACUGUGCUUUGAAGAAUGCUAAUGAGUUACAGAUUUAAAAAAAUACCAUGCUGGAAUCUCCUAGCUUGUAUGAUUUCUGAGGUAGUACUGAGAAAUUUAGGAUCAACCUUGAGUAACAAGCAGAGAUUUUCUAGCUAGUAAAAAAACUGGUUUGUUGAAAAGUAACCCCAGCUUAUCCUGUACAACCAACAGUCUUUGAUUAUUACCUAGGCAUGCUGUCAUUCCAUCAGGUGACACGGCCCUCCAUGGAAUGCCAGGUGACUGAAAUCUGUUUAUUCAUUCCCUUUUCUUUCUUUUUUUUUUUUAUAUUAUCAGUUCUGAAUUCUCUCCUUUCUUCAGC